GCUCAGAGAUGUUGUGGAAGGCGGAGGCCAGCUUCAGCAGAGUAGCCAGGGCUUCCUGCUCCUUGCCGUGG
rnacentral:SRP_RNA from 8 species